UACGUAGGUGACAAGCGUUGUCCGGAUUUACUGGGCGUAAAGAGCGCGCAGGCGGUCGAUCAAGUCGAGUGUGAAAGCCCCCGGCUCAACUGGGGAGGGUCAUUCGAUACUGAUCGACUCGAAGGCAGGAGAGGGUAGUGGAAUUCCCGGUGUAGUGGUGAAAUGCGUAGAUAUCGGGAGGAACACCGGUGGCGAAGGCGGCAUCCUGGACCGGCAUUGACGCUGAGGCGCGAAAGCCAGGGGAGCAAACGGGG
rnacentral:rRNA from 1 species